UACGGGGGGGGCAAGCGUUGUUCGGAAUUACUGGGCGUAAAGGGCUCGUAGGCGGCCAACUAAGUCAGACGUGAAAUCCCCAGGCUCAACCUGGGAACUGCGUCUGAUACUGGAUGGCUUGAAUCCGGGAGAGGGAUGCGGAAUUCCAGGUGUAGCGGUGAAAUGCGUAGAUAUCUGGAGGAAUACCGGUGGCGAAGGCGGCAUCCUGGACCGGCAUUGACGCUGAGGAGCGAAAGCUAGGGGAGCAAACGGG
rnacentral:rRNA from 1 species